rnacentral:rRNA from 1 species
AGUGAACGCUGGCGGCGUGCCUAAUACAUGCAAGUCGAACGGAGUGGCGCACGGGUGAGUAAUAUAUAGCUAAUCUGCCCCUUGCUGGAGGCCAACAGUUAUAAAUGACUGCUAAUACUCCAUAGCAAGGGAUGAGACUAUAUCGUAUCAGCUAGUCGGUGGGGUAACGGCCUACCGAGCCUAUGACGCGUAACUGGUCUGAGAGGAUGAUCAGGCUCAUGGGAACUGAGACACGGUUCAAACGCCUUCGGGACGCAGCAGUAGGGUAGAGUGCGCAAUGGGGGAAAGCCUGACGCAGCAACGCCGCGUGGAGGACUACACUUUUCGGAGAGUAAACUCCUUUUGUUAGGGAAUCGGUACCUAACGAAUAAGCACCGGCUAACUCCGUGCCAGCAGCCGCGGUAAUAC